UUAUGGGAGGGGGCAGUGGCCACAAGAGGGCAAUGGAUUCCUUGGAGCUGGAGUUAGGGACAGUUGUUUGUCACCUGUCACUGGUUUUAGGAAAUGAACUCAAAUCCUCUGCAAAAGCUACAUGCACAUCCUUAACCUCCAAGCUCUCUCUGUAGUCUGAUAGGUUAGUAUAAGGCAUGCAGGGCUAAGGUCUAUGUGGCACAUGGGAACAGAGAUGUCUAGAGGUAGUCUUCUCUCAGAUCCGGAGUUAGGAGAUGAUAACUGGUGGGCUGGAGAAAAAAAAAUACAAAAAUCCUCAGAACAUAGCAGCAUCUGAAAUUAAACCAAGAAAUCCCAAAGGAGAAGGAAAACCCAGAGGAAAGCAGAUGCAGGCACAGGGAGAUGGUGGCUGAAGGUGCCGGGCCAGGAACUCCGCUCCUAGGUCUUGCUUGGUUUGCUGGUCUAGUGGGACUAAGUAGAGACCAGAGCCAAAGAGUAGCUCAUGGAGAAACCGAAAAUGUCAUAAGGACUAGGGGAAAGAGCUUCGCCUUGACCAGUGAAUGUUAGUUUCAUCACCAUGGUAUAUUAAUUGCUUUUCUCACACCCGUGAUCAAAUACCUGAUCAAAACAAUGUAAGCGAUCCUUUAUUUUGCCUUCAUUUGAUACUGUCCAUCACAGCAGGGACUGGUGGCCCCAGACGGGAACACAGGGUGACUGGUCACACUGUCCAAAGUCAGGAUGCAGGGAAAAAUGGACGAAUGUUCUCAGCUACCUUUCUCUCUCUACUCAGCACCAGCCCAGUGCCGCAGGGCUCCCCACAUUCACAGUGGGUCACCUCUCUUCACAUAAACCUUCCAGGAAGCACGGUAUAGACACACGCAAAGAUGUGUUUCCAAGGCAACUGUAAGUCUACUCAAGUUGACAAUGAAGAUUAAUGAUCAUAAUUUGGAAUUCUGUGCACACCUUUAGUCCCAGCAUUUAGGAGGCAGAUCUCUUGAGUUUGUGGCUGGCCUAAUCUACAUGUGAGUUCUAAGACAUCCAAGACUACAUAGUGAGAACUUGUCUCAACAAAAAGUAAAAGAAAAGAUAGCUAUCAUAUGUGGUUUUAAACCUAUUUGAUACUAUUUCCAUUUAUUCUUUGUAAAUGUCAUACAUCUAUAUAGCAUAUUUUGUUCAUAUCCAUCUACCCUUGCCCCCUUGAGAGCUCAGUGCCCUUCACCCUCCCAACUUCAUGCAGUUUUUUGUUACUAUUGUUUCCUCUCAGAGGCCAGCAUGUUUAUGGACGUAGAACUAUUCACUGGGGCAUGGGCAGACUACAGCUCUGUUCCGAAAAAACAGUGGUGCUCUCUUCUGUUCACAGCUCUCCUCCUCUAGUCAGCUCUUUCAUUCUUUAUGAAGUGAAAAAAAUAGUUAGAUAGUUAGUAGAUCAGGCUGGCUCCAAACUGAGAGAUUCUCCUGCCUCUUCCUCCUGAAUGUUGAUAUUUAAAACCCAGCCAAGCCAGUGGUGGUGCAUACUUUCAGUUCCAGCACUUGGGAGGCAGAGGCAGGCAAAUCUCUUAGUUUGAGGCCAGCCUGGUCUACAGAGUGAGUUCCAGGGCAACUAGGGCUACAUAGAGAAACCUUGUCUCAGAAAAGGGGGAAAAUGAAAACCAGCCAAGAAAAAACUUUAAACAAGGCAUGGUAAUUCUAGCACUUAGGAGGCUGAACAGUUACAGGCCAACUUAUACUAUAUGAGUUUGAGGCCUGUCUGGACUACAUCGUGAGCCUCUGCCAUCUCUCCACCUCCAUUCUAAGUGUCACUUGUUGGGUUUUCUUUUCUUUUUCUUUUUCUUUUUGUGGGGGUGUUUUUUAUGAAAUAGGGUUUCUCCUUGUAGCCCCUGGCUAUUCAGGAACUUACUGUGUAGACCAGGAGGGCCUCAAACUCACAGAGAUCCACCUUCCUCAGCCUCCUGACUGCUGGGAAUAAAGGUGUGCCCCACCACCAUCUGAUUCUUUUUUUUUUCUUAAUUUAGGUCGUCAUACAGAAUAAUAGGUCUUACUAUGGCAUCCUCAUGAACCUGCCAUUAUCUAUCACUUGCUUACACUGUGAGUCAAAGGUGGUGCUGAGGACUCCCUAGCCAAGGUCUGCAUAAGACUUGGAAGUUUCCUCAUCCUGUUGGAAAUCAGCCUUUAGACACGAAUACUUGGGGUAGCCUACAGCACAGUGAGAGCCUGUGUGAAGGACCCUGAACAUGGCAGGCAAACACUGUACCGCUGAGCCACACCUCCGGUCCUGUUGGUUAUGUCUAACACCUAAGUCACGGAUACCCUGAGUGACAUUCCUCAGCCUUAAGAACAGAGACUGAACACAGCAGCGCUCACUCAGAGGCAGGUGGAGUGUGCAGAGCACAGAAGGUACAGUGGGUGGACAGGAAGGAGCUGGAGGCCAUGCCAACAGGUCUGGAUCAGUGGCUCUCAACCAAUGGACUGCCAACUGCUGGCCACGGAGCUGGAGGCUAACAACUGUCAAGUGUGCCCUGACAGUGAAGACCAACUGCACCCCAGAAAUGAUGACACCCUCAGACAGCAGGAAGUAGCCUAAGGAACCAAUGUUCCCAUCCCUGCCUCACCAUCUCUCCCCUUCUAGUUCCUUCUCUUUAUAAGAAACCAAAGGGAGCAGCCUGAGGGGCCUGGUGACAGCAGGACACAUCAUCACUAGCUGCCAGGAGGUGACACAUUCCUCCUGUCACUUGUCCCACAGCCCCUGAUAAAAGCCCUUUUCCCUUCAUCUCUUCCAGAGGCAGCCUGUGUAUCCCCUCCCUUCCCCCUGAAUAAACCUCCCAUGUGAAA